CCGCCUACUUCUCUACUAUAUAAUAGGGAAAAAGCAGUAGGCGAGCGAAUAAGUAUGUCAGAAACCUCAGUAAUCAUAAAUGAGUAGUCAAGAAGUUCCCGGAUGGCCUACUGCUUCCGCCCAGAUUCUGAAGUGUUCCUCGAUCGAUACUUUUCUAUCCCAGGAGGCCACAGGAGAGGAUACGUCAUAAUUGAACAUGGAGGAGAAAAGCGGCGCGGAUGCUUUCAAAUGGACAGAUGAUCACGUGUGUUCAUCCGCUGGAGAGAGGCUGAUGAAGGAAUGAUGCCAUCAAAGGCUUUGAGUGAGGAUACUACAGAAAUUAAGCUCUGUGGUGAAGCAGGACCUACAAGACAAGGUGACUACAGCAAAAAAGGAAAACCUGAAACAAAAAUAUAAAGUAAGAUCAUUUUGUUACUUCUAAUACAGAAAUCAAAUGACACUGUGCUGUUAAGAUGACUGCUUUUGUAUUAUAUUUGUGCAUUAUUGUAGGAUGUGAAAUGUCCUCAGACUGGUGUGAGCUACGACAAAAAUUAGCGAGUAAUUGUAAAAAUAUUAAAUGAAAUAUGGCAAGAAACAGAAUGCUGACAUUAAUGAAUUGUAAAAUGUUUUAAUCUGUUUUAGUCAUGCUGAUGGAGAGCAGACACACGAAUGUUUAGAGCAGACACAGCAGCAGCCAGAUUGUCCCACACAUCUUCUCCCACUCUUGCGUCAAGGUUGUGGGGUUCAGGGGUCCAUCAUCAUCAUCUUCCUCAUCCUCUGGAUCCACGAUGUCCCCACUGAGAAGAGCAGCAGUGAGGGACAUGAUGGAUGAAGGUGUUCAUCAGAAUAAAGCUGCAGAACUGGCACAGCUGUGUGAGAUGGCAGUAGGAUUGUAAAUACGUGAUUGUUAGAUCAAUAAAUUUGAAUAAAGCUUUGUUUUAUGUGUU